rnacentral:lncRNA from 1 species
GGCUCUCAAAAGCAGCGCCAGUCACAUAGGGCUAGCAGCGACCAAAACGGGCACACAACUGACCGGUCCAACUGAUGCAGAACGAGAGCCGAUCAUGCACAAAAUGCCACUAAAGCAGUCGGGAGUUACAAGGGAGACCAAAGAUUCAACUGAAUCACAAGAAAUAGCACAAGGACCCAAUUUGACACCCGCAACAAUGUGUUGUCAUGAUUUGUUGAUGAGGAAUGUUGUGCUUUCUGCCUACACCCCAAUGACUAUACUGCAGCCCAGCUUCCAGUUGAUGCGGGAGGCACUAUAGGGCCCUACUGCCUAACACUUGCUGACGAGGACACCCUUGCGAAGAAUGAGAUUGUGGAUCCUACCAUCGGCCUCCAGAAUAAGGAUGGAAU